rnacentral:piRNA from 1 species
UACAUAUAACGUUAGAUUUGGGACUGC